rnacentral:rRNA from 1 species
UGGGGAAUCUUAGACAAUGGGGGAAACCCUGAUCUAGCCAUGCCGCGUGUGUGACGAAGGCCCUAGGGUCGUAAAGCACUUUCGCCGGUGAAGAUAAUGACGGUAACCGGUAAAGAAGCCCCGGCUAACUUCGUGCCAGCAGCCGCGGUAAUACGAAGGGGGCUAGCGUUGUUCGGAAUUACUGGGCGUAAAGCGCGCGUAGGCGGAUCUUUAAGUCAGGGGUGAAAUCCCGGGGCUCAACCUCGGAAUUGCCUUUGAUACUGGAGAUCUUGAGUCCGAGAGAGGUGAGUGGAACUCCGAGUGUAGAGGUGAAAUUCGUAGAUAUUCGGAAGAACACCAGUGGCGAAGGCGGCUCACUGGCUCGGUACUGACGCUGAGGUGCGAAAGCGUGGGGAGCAAACAGGAUUAGAUACCCCCGUAGUCC